rnacentral:miRNA from 1 species
UUGGCUGAGUGAGCAUCACUG